rnacentral:rRNA from 1 species
UGAGUAACACGUGGACAAUCGUCGCCCCCCGGGACCGGGAUACGCCCGAAGGGAAACCGUGGAUUAAGUACCGGAUGAGGACCGGGACCGUGCGAGUGGGCGGGAGUACCGGGAAAGGCGCGUACGGCGCCGCCGGGGGAUGAGUCUGCGUCCCAUUAGCUAGACGGCGGGGUAACGGCCCACCGUGGCGACGAUGGGUAGCCGGCCUGAGAGGGUGGACGGCCACAUUGGAACUGAGACACGGUCCAGACUCCUACGGGAGGCAGCAGCUAAGAAUCUUCCGCAAUGGGCGAAAGCCUGACGGAGCGAACCGCCGCGUGAACGAAGAAGGCCGUGAGGUUGUAAAGUUCUUUUCGGGAGGGGGAACAACCGUGGCAGGGAAUGGCCGCGGGAUGACGUGAAUCCCGGAAUAAGCCCCGGCUAACUACGUGCCAGCAGCCGC